rnacentral:rRNA from 1 species
CCUACGGGAGGCAGCAGUGAGGAAUAUUGGUCAAUGGACGAGAGUCUGAACCAGCCAAGUAGCGUGAAGGAUGACGGCCCUAUGGGUUGUAAACUUCUGUUAUAAAGGAAUAAAACGAGGCACGUGUGCCUUUUUGCAUGGACUUUAUGAAUAAGGAUAGGCUAACUCCGUGCAAGCAGCCGCGGUAAGACGGAGGAUCCGAGCGUUAUCCGGAUUUAAUGGGUUUCAAGGGAGCGUAGAUGGGUUGUUACUUCAGUUGUGUAAGUGUGCGGCUCAACCGUAAAAUUGCACUUGUUACUGGCAGUCUUGAGUACAGUUGAGGUAGGCGGAAUUCGUGGUGUAGCGGU